rnacentral:lncRNA from 1 species
UCAUUUCUUUAUUGAUUUUCACCCAUGCAGUCCUUAAACAUUUGCUUUGGUUAUUUCACAUUUUUGUUUGAAUCUAACUUUUAGUGCACAAACUUUGUUAUUUUUACUAUCUUUAAAACUUGUCUUAAAGAAUAGGAAAUUAUAAAUUAAAUUGAGAAUGGAAAUGGGGAAUGAGUCAAAGAGACAACAACCCGACCAAAGAACAGACAACAGCCG